AAAGUCGUAACAAGGUUUCCGUAGGUGAACCUGCGGAAGGAUCAUUCAUAAUUGAGUGUUUUAUGGCACUCUUUAAAAAAAUCCAUAUCCACCUUGUGUGCAACGUUUUUGAACUCUCUCUGGUAUUAAAAAACCAAAGGGGUUUGAUUAACUUAACACCUUUAAAGCAGUUUGUCUGAAUAUCUAUUUCUGAAUAAACAUAAUUCAAAAAUACAACUUUCAACAACGGAUCUCUUGGCUCUC
rnacentral:misc_RNA from 1 species